UACGAAGGGGGCUAGCGUUGUUCGGAAUCACUGGGCGUAAAGGGCGCGUAGGCGGCUGUUCAAGUCGGGGGUGAAAUCCCGUGGCUCAACCACGGAAUGGCCUUCGAUACUGGACGGCUCGAGACCGGAAGAGGUGAGUGGAACUGCGAGUGUAGAGGUGAAAUUCGUAGAUAUUCGGAAGAACACCAGUGGCGAAGGCGACUUACUGGACACAUAUUGACGCUGAGACGCGAAAGCGUGGGGAGCGAACAGG
rnacentral:rRNA from 1 species